AAGCAGGGGAUCGUAAGACCUUGCGCUUUUGGAGCGGCCGAUGCCUGAUUAGCUAGUUGGUGGGGUAAGGGCCUACCAAGGCAACGAUCAGUAGUUGGUCUGAGAGGACGACCAGCCACACUGGGACUGAGACACGGCCCAGACUCCUACGGGAGGCAGCAGUGGGGAAUUUUGGACAAUGGGCGAAAGCCUGAUCCAGCAAUGCCGCGUGAGUGAAGAAGGCCUUCGGGUUGUAAAGCUCUUUCAGUCGAGAAGAAAAGGUUGCGAUUAAUAAUCGCAAUUCAUGACGGUACCGAAAGAAGAAGCACCGGCUAACUACGUGCCAGCAGCCGCGGUAAUACGUAGGGUGCGAGCGUUAAUCGGAAUUACUGGGCGUAAAGGGUGCGCAGGCGGCUUUGUAAGUCAGAUGUGAAAUCCCCGGGCUUAACCUGGGAAUUGCGUUUGAAACUACAAAGCUAGAGU
rnacentral:rRNA from 1 species